AGAGCAGUGUUCCUUUUCCAGAAGAUUGUGGCAUUUUAUGAGUCUAGCACUAUGCGGGGACUCGUUUUUGCACUUUUAGCGGCGGCCUUCGUGGCUUCAGUUCAAGGCCAUCGCUACAGAGGCCCAAGAUUCAUCAAUCUAGGAAUCACGGGAAUCCUUCCCCCAGUUUACGCGGGAUACAACCGGGGAACCCUCAGCCGCUUCGGCAGCAUUUCCGGAUCCUCCCUGAGCCGUACUUUUGGUUCUACCUUCCUGGCCGGUGGUGUUACCGGAGGACAAAGCAUCGGGUUGAGCUCGGUGUAUCCCUACACCAGGAGAAGCACUACAAUUAGAACAGUAGCGCCAUUCUCUGGUGGAUUCCAAUCCUACAAUGAAUUUGGUGGUCUUCCUUCUGUACCUAGUGAUGGACCCUAUGAUCUUGAUGGACCUUUGUCUGGGUUUGGACCUCGUGGGAGUGACCUAGGACCUUUAGGAAGUGGUGGGCCAUUAUCUGGGGAUAGUGGCGUAGGACCUCUAGAUGGUUUUGGACCAAAUAACGACUUUGGGACCUCGUAAUGGUUUAGAACCUCUUGGCGGUGACGGACCUUUUGGUGGUGACGGGCCUUUUGGUGGUGACGGACCUCUUGGCGGUGACGGACCUCUGAGCGGUGACUUAUCAGGAGACGGUUUACUUACCGGAAGACUUGGUGAUCUCGGGCCUUUAGGUGUUGGGAGGAUUUCAGGUGGUUACUACGGGCCAUUAGGAUAUGACUAUGAAGCCAGCCUUGGACGUAGCGGUGCAGGCUCAGUUUAUGAAUCUUACCGUGGAUUGGACGGUUCAGGAUAUCCUAAUCCAUACACUGGUUUAGACGGACGCUUCGAUCUUGGCGAUCGAUUCUCGUCAUCUGGUGAUUAUGACUAUUUAUACAACUAUCGUCCUGGGGUUUCCGGUUUUGGCGGCGACUUUUCCGUUUCCGGUGGAGGCCCUGGGUUGGACUUCAACCUUCAAGGUGGAGAUGGACUAGGUUUCAACACUCAGUUUAGUGCAUUGGAAGGACAAGGGUCUCUAGGCCGCGGAACCGGAAGUGCCGGACUAGCAGAAUCACUGGGCUCUCCAGGUGGACGCUACCUAGAAUUCAAUAAUAAUGCAUAAGGCUUUCGAGCCCGACUUCUGGAAAAAGGAAGCACUUGAUGUAAAAAUCUGGUCUCUCUAAAACAUUUAUUGUACAUGUAUAUCAUAUUCAUCUUUUUGUCAGACGCCCGGGGACUUUCACAUUAAAAAAUGUAGC
rnacentral:misc_RNA from 1 species